GAGUCAGCCGCCUAAGGCAGGGCAGAUGACUGGGGUGAAGUCGUAACAAGGUAGCCGUAGGAGAACCUGCGGCUGGAUCACCUCCUUUCUAAGGAA
rnacentral:rRNA from 1 species